rnacentral:lncRNA from 10 species
CUGCGGCUCCUCCCUCGGGCAGAGGGAGUCCAGAUGCGAGGGACGCCCUCCAGAGCCGAGCUGGGCCGGCCGGGCAGCUAGGGUGCUGGGAGGUUGCGGUGCAGGGUGGGUGGGUGCAGUGAGGCUGGAGCCACGCUGGGGGGGCUGGGCUGGCGGGGGGAGGCUGGAGCCGCGCCGGGGAGAGGGAGGCGGCGGUUGGGUGCUGGAGGGCGCUGGUGCCGUGCCAGUGGGCGGUGGCGCCUUACGCCACCCGCCCCACCCCCGUCACCGUGCCCGCCCCACUGCGUGGGAUUUUACAACCUAGGUCCCCGGGAGGUGGUGGUGGAGGGAGGGGCGGCGGGGACGUUUCCGGGGCGGGGGAGGGGCGCACUGCUCCAGAACUGGACCGAGGGCGGGGCUCCCCUCUGCUUCUCCCCUCUGUUCCAGCGCUGAGACGCAGGCCUUUCCUGGCGCGAAGCGACUCGCCCCGGAGCUCCCCUGCACCGUCCUGGGUGUCAGGACGCGUCAACCCAGAUGACCCGACCCGGAGAUCCUGGAUCCUCUGCCCUCUUCCCCCUACCAAGUCCUUAACCGGAGAGGGAGGAGCUACCAAUGUCCUCCAGACGUUCUCCAAAGCCCGAGCUGCCGGGAGAAGCUUGCUCAAGGCGGGUGCGCCCCUCAGACGUUUGUUUGCACGCAGGGGUUUUGACGUUUCGCUAAGCAACAGCGUUUGCCAGGGAAUCAGGGCUGUUUCGAAGAGCUUGCGUCUAUUUGAUGCUCCCAUCUUGAACAAAUCGUUUCCAUUCGAUUUGUUUAACCAAGGCGAGGGCGGACUAUGUUGUUACUUAAAAGUUAUUCUUCAUCCAAGCUGUCCUCAGAUUUUCAUCUAAGGGUGUCAUAACACCCCAGGUCGUUGCGCAAAUGUUUUGUGACAAUUUAGAAAACCAGAGGGGGGAAAUAUCCUUAGAGAAAAAAUCAUAACCAACAAGAAAAUUAUGUUAAAUGAUGUUGGUCCUUUUUCAUCGGAUGGUCCCAGUUGACACAUAGUCUUUUACAAAACCAGUGACUAUUCACAGUCUUCAAUUUAUGGCACAUCUCCCGGUGGGGGCGAAGUGCAUGAAUGGGUCCCACCUUAUUCACCAGCUGAAACUCUGAACAAGCCUUGGGGUUUCCUCUCCCAAAGACUGCCAGGCUUCACUAAGAAUCAAAACAAAACAGGAUACUAAAUGCCUGCGUGUUCAUGAAUCAAGUAUGUACAGUGAGAGAGAUCUGACAGCACUCCCUGCCUUCCCCCGAAGGAGGAGAAAUGUCAUGAAGCUAAGAGAGACUCAACAUGGAAAAUCCAAACCCUCCGAGGACAUUUACAUAGCAUGCAGAGGGCUGAAUGGUCCAUCUGGGUGCCUCUUCAUCCUCUGAAACCAGGCAGAUCAACUCUCGGAAUCCUGAGCCAUGUUCCCAAAUGGUUCUGUGAUUUAAAGUGUUGUUAAUCAAACACAAGACCCAUAAAGUGAAUUUGGGGUCAUCUUGUCCUUUACUGGUUUCCUGAUUGGGAGGCUCACCCUUGGCUUAUGAUCACAUCCAUUUGGCAGAAAGUCAGCUUAUUUGACAGGGUUGGAAACAAUGCCAUGUGAGCAGAAGAGAAAUUGCUUUCAUCCCUUUUUCUACCUGAUGGUCUUAUAUUAUGAUAUGGUUUGGCUGUGCGCCCACCCAAAUCUCAUCUUGAAUUGUAGUUCCCAUAAUCCCCGUAUGUCAUGGGUGAGACCUCAUGGGAGGUAAAUAAAUUAUGGAAGUGGUUCCCCCAUGCUGUUCUCAUGAUAGUGAGUGAGUUCUCAUGAGAUCUGAAUGGUUUUAUAAGUGGUUUUUCCCCGCUUUGCUCUGCACUUCUCUCUCCUGCCACCAUGUGAAGAAGGAUGUGUUUGCUUCCCCUUCUGCCCUGAUUGUAAGUUUCUGGAGGCCUCCCAAGCCAUGCGGAACUGUGAGUCAAUGAAACCUCUUUCCUUUAUAAAUUACCCAGUCUCAGGCCAGGCACAGUGGCUCACGCCUGUAAUCCCAGCACUUGGGGAGGCUGAGGUGGGCGGAUUGCCUGAGGUCAGGAGUUCGAGACCAGUCUGGCUAACAUGGUGAAAUCCCGUCUCUACUAAAAAUACAGAAUUAGCCAGGCAUGAUGGCGUGUGCCUGUAAUGCCAGAUACUUGGGAGGCUGAGGCAGGGGAAUUGCUUGAACCAGGGAGGUGGAGGUUGCAGUGGGCCAAGGUCACGCCACUGUACUCCAGUCUGGGCGACAGAGCAAGACUCCAUCUCAAAAAUAAAUAAAUAA